GGAGGGGUUUGGCUCGGGAGAGGGGAGAGCCUGGACAGCAGCAAGAAAACCAAGGCAGAGAGAUGGUCUUAGGAGGACACUUGGACAGAGCAGCAAGCCCCUGCUCCUCCUUCAUGAGGUUGCCUCCUGCUAGAAGCCUCCCUGAUGGCCCCUCUGUGGGACCCACUGGAGUCCUUCUCUGUAGUGUCUGCACUGUUUACUCUAUCCGGUUCUUUUCACAGGGGAUCACAGUUGUCUCUCGCCUUCUCUGCCGAGAGCUCUUUGUGGGUAGAUUUUGUCUAAUGAUUCUUUGUAGUUAUUUUGGACUGAACCUAACAAAGAGUAAUUGCCAGAUGGAUGUUGAAAAACUAGGGAUAGACCAAGACAGAAAGAUGGACAGAAAGACGAAGACUAAAAUUGGUGGGACAAAUGGGCAGGGGUGUUGGAGAACAGGAGCCCCAAGAACAAUGAGGUGGAAGAGGGCAGGUGGACCUUGCAGGUUUGCCUUGGCACAGUGAUGGGCCCGAUUGGGCCAGAGGCUAGGGUCCCCUUCCUACCUUGGAGCCAGCCUCCCUCCAUCCAUGAGGCCCUCUCAGGGGAGGAGCUAUGGAAGGCUCUGCUGCUGGGAGCUGUGCAGGUGGGGCGGGAGGUCGGCUAGGGUGAUGCUUUGGAUCACUUUCAUGGAAUUCAAAGAAUAUGAUUCAAACAGAGGAUCCAGACCUGGG
rnacentral:lncRNA from 1 species